UACGUAGGUGGCAAGCGUUGUCCGGAUUUACUGGGCGUAAAGGGCGUGCAGGCGGUUUGUUAAGUUCAGGGUGAAAGCUCCCGGCUCAACUGGGAGAGGUCCUUGGAUACUGGCAGACUUGAGGAGGGUAGAGGAGAGUGGAAUUCCCGGUGUAGUGGUGAUAUGCGUAGAUAUCGGGAGGAACACCAGUGGCGAAGGCGGCUCUCUGGGACGGUACUGACGCUGAGACGCGAAAGCGUGGGGAGCGAACAGG
rnacentral:rRNA from 1 species